rnacentral:rRNA from 1 species
UACGAAGGGGGCUAGCGUUGCUCGGAAUCACUGGGCGUAAAGGGUGCGUAGGCGGGUCUUUUAAGUCAGGGGUGAAAUCCUGGAGCUCAACUCCAGAACUGCCUUGAUACUGAAGAUCUUGAGUUCGGGAGAGGUGAGUGGAACUGCGAGUGUAGAGGUGAAAUUCGUAGAUAUUCGCAAGAACACCAGUGGCGAAGGCGGCUCACUGGCCCGAUACUGACGCUGAGGUGCGAAAGCGUGGGGAGCAAACAGG